ensembl:misc_RNA 7SK 7SK RNA
AGAUGUGAGGGCAGUCUGGCUGCGACACCUGUCACCCCAUUGAUCGCCACGGUUGAUUCAGCUGAUCUUGUGGGCUAGGAGGGCGUCCCCUCUCUCCCUCACUACCCCAUGUGUAUCUCUUCUAAAGCUAAAUGCUUAAUUCAUGAGGACAACCACUCCCAGUAGAGGAGGACCAGUCCUUGGUCAAGGGUAUACAAGUAACUGUGCUUCCCCUGCUGGAACCUCCAAGCAAGCUUUCAAGAUCGGUAGAUAGAUAAGUAAAUGUAUAUAUACAUAUCUUCACUUAGAGGAACUGU